UACGGAGGGUGCGAGCGUUGUCCGGAAUCAUUGGGCGUAAAGGGCGCGUAGGUGGCCUGCUAAGCGUGCGGUGAAAGCUCGGGGCUCAACCCCGAGUCGGCCGUGCGAACUGGUGGGCUUGAGCACUGUAGAGGCAGGCGGAAUUCCGGGUGUAGCGGUGGAAUGCGUAGAGAUCCGGAAGAACACCGGUGGCGAAGGCGGGUUGCUGGGCCGACACUGACGCUGAGGCGCGAAAGCCAGGGGAGCGAACGGG
rnacentral:rRNA from 1 species